CCCUUAGACGUUCUGGGCCGCACGCGCGCUACACUGACACAGGCAACGAGCUUUCCUUUACCGAAAGGUAUGGGUAAUCUUUUGAAACUGUGUCGUGCUGGGGAUAGAUCCUUGCAAUUUUUGAUCUUAAACGAGGAAUUCCUAGUAAGCGCGAGUCAUCAACUCGCGUUGAUUACGUCCCUGCCCUUUGUACACACCGCCCGUCGCUACUACCGAUUGAAUGGCUUAGUGAGGCCUCAGGAUCCGCGCUUAAUGUGUGGAGAAUUUGGACAAACUACGUCAUUUAGAGAAAGUAAAAGUCGUAACA
rnacentral:rRNA from 1 species